GUAAAUGAUAUAGCCGGUCCCAAGCCCGGAAAAAGGAGGAGGGUAUA
rnacentral:misc_RNA from 1 species